GAUGAACGCUGGCGGCGUGCCUAAUACAUGCAAGUCGAGCGAACGGACGAGAAGCUUGCUUUUCUGAUGUUAGCGGCGGACGGGUGAGUAACACGUGGAUAACCUACCUAUAAGACUGGGAUAACUUCGGGAAACCGGAGCUAAUACCGGAUAAUAUUUUGAACCGCAUGGUUCAAAAGUGAAAGACGGUCUUGCUGUCACUUAUAGAUGGAUCCGCGCUGCAUUAGCUAGUUGGUAAGGUAACGGCUUACCAAGGCAACGAUGCAUAGCCGACCUGAGAGGGUGAUCGGCCACCCUGGAACUUAGACACGGUCCAGACUCCUACGGGAGGCAGCAGUAGGGAAUCUUCCGCAAUGGGCGAAAGCCUGACGGAGCAACGCCGCGUGAGUGAUGAAGGUCUUCGGAUCGUAAAACUCUGUUAUUAGGGAAGAACAUAUGUGUAAGUAACUGUGCACAUCUUGACGGUACCUAAUCAGAAAGCCACGGCUAACUACGUG
rnacentral:rRNA from 1 species